rnacentral:rRNA from 1 species
UAGGGAAUCUUCCGCAAUGGACGCAAGUCUGACGGAGCAACGCCGCGUGAGUGAAGAAGGAUUUCGGUUCGUAAAACUCUGUUGUUAGAGAAGAACAGCGCAUAGAGUAACUGUUAUGCGUGUGACGGUAUCUAACCAGAAAGCCACGGCUAACUACGUGCCAGCAGCCGCGGUAAUACGUAGGUGGCAAGCGUUGUCCGGAUUUAUUGGGCGUAAAGCGAGCGCAGGCGGUCAAUUAAGUCUGAUGUGAAAGCCCCCGGCUCAACCGGGGAGGGGCAUUGGAAACUGGUUGACUUGAGUGCAGAAGAGGAGAGUGGAAUUCCAUGUGUAGCGGUGAAAUGCGUAGAUAUAUGGAGGAACACCAGUGGCGAAGGCGACUCUCUGGUCUGUAACUGACGCUGAGGCUCGAAAGCGUGGGGAGCGAACAGG